CUAUUACACAUGAGACGACAGUCCUUUUCUGUUUACAUAAAUAUGUAACUGUAUUUGUACAUCAAUAGAGACUUUCUUAAUAACUCCAAUCUGCAUUCUCCUGUGUUUUUAGGUCAGCUUUUGCUCCUUCCUGCCUGUCCACGCCCAAUAUGCUCACCAGUGACAGGACGUAGGAAGUGUCAUGGUGGCCCAGAAGUCCUGAGAAUCAGCCCACAAAUCAGAGUAAGACCUUUCUUCUUGUCCUUGUCCUGUUUUCUUUGACGAACAAGAACAUGCUGACAACCAGGAAAAAUUACGAAAGUAAAACGUUACGUAAUGUUGU
rnacentral:lncRNA from 1 species